UGAGGAAUAUUGGUCAAUGGGCGGAAGCCUGAACCAGCCAAGUCGCGUGAGGGAAGACGGUCCUAUGGAUUGUAAACCUCUUUUGCAGGGGAGCAAGACCUGUACGUGUAACAGGUUGGAGAGUACCCUGAGAAAAACGCAUCGGCUAACUCCGUGCCAGCAGCCGCGGUAAUACGGAGGAUGCGAGCGUUAUCCGGAUUUAUUGGGUUUAAAGGGUGCGUAGGCGGGCUGGUAAGUCAGCGGUAAAAAGUGCGGUGCUCAACGCCGUAAGUGCCGUUGAAACUGCCGGUCUUGAGUGAGCGAGAAGUAUGCGGAAUGCGUGGUGUAGCGGUGAAAUGCAUAGAUAUCACGCAGAACUCCGAUUGCGAAGGCAGCAUACCGGCGCUCAACUGACGCUGAGGCACGAAAGCGUGGGGAUCGAACAGGAUUAGAUACC
rnacentral:rRNA from 1 species